UACGAAGGGGGCGAGCGUUGUUCGGAAUUACUGGGCGUAAAGGGCGCGCAGGCGGCUCUGAAAGUCAGAUGUGAAAGCCCCGGGCUUAACCUGGGAAUUGCAUUUGAUACUCUGGAGCUUGAGUACGGGAGAGGAGAGUGGAAUUCCCAGUGUAGAGGUGAAAUUCGUAGAUAUAGGGAAGAACACCGGUGGCGAAGGCGGCUCUCUGGACCGUAACUGACGCUGAGGCGCGAAAGCUAGGGGAGCAAACAGG
rnacentral:rRNA from 1 species